rnacentral:rRNA from 1 species
AACGAACGCUGGCGGCAUGCCUAAUACAUGCAAGUCGAACGAGACCACCGGGUCCAGUGGCGCAUGGGUGCGUAACGCGAGGGAACCUGCACUUAGGUUCGGCAUAACUCUCCGACAGGGGUGCUAAUACCGGAUAAUGUCUUAGGACCAAAGAUUUAUUGACCUUGGAUGGGCCCGCGUUGGAUUAGCUAGUUGGUAGGGUAAAAGCCUACCAAGGCGACGAUCCAUAGGUUGUCUGAGAGGAUGCUUAGCCACACUGGGACGGGGACACGGCCCAGACUCCUACGGGAGGCAGCAGUGGGGAAUGUUGGACAAUGGGCUAAAGCCUGAUCCAGCAAUGCCGCGAGAGUGAUGAAGGCCUUAGAGUUGUAAAGCGCUUUUACCCGGGAUGAUAAUGACAGUACCGAGAGAAUAAGCUCCGGCUAACUCCGUG